GCCUCCAGCUUCUUUAUCUUUGUGUCCUAAGCCUCUGGCUGAUCACAGCUCAAAUGACAGAAGUGCUGAAAAAAUACUUUGGAACAAUGCAAGGAAAAGGUGAAAUCCUGUACCCCAAAUCACAGCCUUUUGCCACCUCUCUUUUCCAGUUGGUCAAUGUCACAGCAAAUUCAGUGCCUUGGCCAAGUGCUUGGCACUUCUAAGUGUCUGAGAGUGGCAGGUCCCUGGGAAGAACUGGUGCCUCUAUCUAAGAUGCAGAAGCAUUGGCAGAGAAAUACAUAAUCCAACAUAUGUAUACUUGAAUUGCCCCAGAAUAAAGAUUAUUAAAUCUUAGAACAAAAACCAAAGAGAAGUAAAUCAGCCCUGUGUCCAAUACUUACAGCUAUUGUAACAACGGUGCGGUCUGCAAAAGCCGUCAUUACCACUUUCUG